GAUGAAGAACGUAGCGAAAUGCGAUAAGUAGUGUGAAUUGCAGAAGUACCGUGAAUCAUCGAAUCUUUGAACGCAAAUUGCACUCUCUGGUAUUCCGGGGAGUAUGCCUGUUUGAGGGUCGCUUAACAAACCAUCGAUUUCGUUGCUUUUUUUUUUUAAAAAAGUGAUGUUUAUCGGAUUUGAGCCGUCUUUUUUUUUUAUAUUUAAGUGGCUUAAAAUUGAUUUUUUUGGUACGAUCGAAGCGUAUUUUUAUGAUCAAUUUUUGGUUAAAGAAACGCACACGUACCGUUAUUUAUAUGAUGUAAUACGUUUGACUAUUGGAUUUAGUUCAUUCGUAUACGAUAUUUUUCAAUAUUUGACCUCAAAUCAGGUAAGAACACCCGCUGAACUUAAGCAUAUCAAUAAGCGGAGGA
rnacentral:misc_RNA from 1 species